AUUGAACGCUGGCGGCAGGCCUAACACAUGCAAGUCGAACGAGUGGCGGACGGGUGAGUAAUGUCUGGGAAACUGACCGAUGGAGGGGGGUAACUACUGGAAACGGUAGCUAAUACCGCAUACCAUCGGAUGUGCCCAGAUGGGAUUAGCUUGUGGGUGGGGUAACGGCUCACCAAGGCGACGAUCCCUAGCGGGUCUGAGAGGAUGACCAGCCACACUGGAACUGAGACACGGUCCAGACUCCUACGGGAGGCAGCAGUGGGGAAUAUUGCACAAUGGGCGAAAGCCUGAUGCAGCCAUGCCGCGUGUAUGAAGAAGGCCUUCGGGUUGUAAAGUACUUUCAGCGAGGAGGCGUUACUCGCAGAAGAAGCACCGGCUAACUCCGUGCCAGCAGCCGCGGUAAUUC
rnacentral:rRNA from 1 species